UGUUGCAUUCAAUGAGGAUAACGGAAGAAGGGCACUCUCGGUUUAAUAGGGGAGGAGGUUCCAGUGUGCAUUUCAAAAUGUUUGACUUCUGGAAGUCUGCAAAUUCCUCAUUUACAAUGGCAAGGAAGAGAAAUAGAAAAUGAAGAACCAUUGCUAUUACUUUAAGCUACAACUGUGUGCUGUAUACACAGUUAUGACUAUGUAGAAAUCUGGGGACAUGAGAGAGGAGCCAGAACUGCCUAACAUGAGAUGUGGAGGGUUUUGAUGUAUAACAGUGGACUAAUUUUUUGGGUCUCUUCAGGAAAACUUAUGUCAACAUCUGUCCACAAGACAAGGGGGGCCGUUUUCAUCACAAUAUCUGAAGAAAUUUCACAGUGUUGGCUGGCAAUAGUUACUCCAAAUGCUUAUGAAAUCAAAUGUGCUAGGCAGACCUGUGUCUGAGGGAUUCCUAGCUUUACUUAAGGAAGUGACAUGAGUUCAGCAGCAUCCCUCAUCACCCAUCACUGACAUGGCCUCUUGGAACAGGGAUGUGGUUAAGGU